rnacentral:pre_miRNA from 1 species
GACAGUGACCAGGUUUUGACGGUGAAAUCUGCCGAACCACUCACCAGCAGGUCAAGAUCGUCACUGUAGU